rnacentral:sRNA from 1 species
UACCGGCGAAUGAAUAAGCCGAUGUCUGGAUCUACGGCUCGUCCCCCGCCGCCUCCAGACCAAGGACAAGGGCCGCCCCGCCCCCUAAUGGCCCUUGUCCUACCAACAUGCCGCCAUGGCCUUCCCCCUCUGGCCAUGGCGGCUUUUC